rnacentral:rRNA from 1 species
ACACAUGCAAGUCGAGCGGUAACAUUUCUAGCUUGCUAGAAGAUGACGAGCGGCGGACGGGUGAGUAAUGCUUGGGAAUAUGCCUUAUGGUGGGGGACAACAGUUGGAAACGACUGCUAAUACCGCAUAACGUCUACGGACCAAAGGGGGGGAUCUUCGGACCUCUCGCCAUUUGAUUAGCCCAAGUGAGAUUAGCUAGUUGGUGAGGUAAAGGCUCACCAAGGCGACGAUCUCUAGCUGGUUUGAGAGGAUGAUCAGCCACACUGGGACUGAGACACGGCCCAGACUCCUACGGGAGGCAGCAGUGGGGAAUAUUGCACAAUGGGCGAAAGCCUGAUGCAGCCAUGCCGCGUGUGUGAAGAAGGCCUUCGGGUUGUAAAGCACUUUCAGUUGUGAGGAAAGGGGUGUAGUUAAUAACUGCAUUCUGUGACGUUAACAACAGAAGAAGCACCGGCUAACUUCGUGCCAGCAGCCGCGGUAAUACGAGGGGUGCAAGCGUUAAUCGGAAUUACUGGGCGUAAAGCGUACGUAGGCGGUUUGUUAAGCAAGAUGUGAAAGCCCAGGGCUCAACCUUGGAACUGCAUUUUGAACUGGCAAACUAGAGUACUGUAGAGGGUGGUGGAAUUUCCAGUGUAGCGGUGAAAUGCGUAGAGAUUGGAAGGAACAUCAGUGGCGAAGGCGGCCACCUGGACAGAUACUGACGCUGAGGUACGAAAGCGUGGGGAGCAAACAGGAUUAGAUACCCUGGUAGUCCACGCCGUAAACGAUGUCAACUAGCCGUUUGUGUCCUUGAGACGUGAGUGGCGCAGCUAACGCACUAAGUUGACCGCCUGGGGAGUACGGCCGCAAGGUUAAAACUCAAAUGAAUUGACGGGGGCCCGCACAAGCGGUGGAGCAUGUGUUUAUUCGAUGCAACGCGAAGAACCUUACCAUCCCUUGACAUCCAGAGAGCGACUAGAGAUAGACGUGUGCCUUCGGGACUCUGUGACAGGUGCUGCAUGGCUGUCGUCAGCUCGUGUUGUGAAUGUUGGGUUAAGUCCCGCAACGAAGCGCAACCCCUAUUCUUUAUUUUGCCAGCGCGUAAUGGGCGGAACUCUCUAUGAGAAACGUGCGCGGUGUAUAAACAGAAGAAAAGUGGCCACGCUCCAAGUCACUCUCUGGCCCCUCUGAGAGAGGGGGGUGUACACACAGUGCUGUGUCUACUAGUAACG